rnacentral:rRNA from 1 species
UACGUAGGGACCAAGCGUUGUCCGGAAUCAUUGGGCGUAAAGUAGCGAGUGUAGGCGGCUUGGUUAAGUCUUGCGUGGAAAUCUCGGGGCUCAACCCCGAGCGGUCGUGAGAAACUGGCAGGCUAGAGUGCGGGAGAGGAGAGUGGAAUUCCUGGUGUAGCGGUGAAAUGCGCAGAUAUCGAGGAAGAACACCCGUGGCGAAGGCGCUGCUCUGGAACGCAACUGACGCUGAGACGCGAAAGCGUGGGGAGCAAACAGG